rnacentral:rRNA from 1 species
UGGCCGUAAACAGAGGGAAGCAAAGCCGCGAGGUGGAGCAAACCCCCAAAAGCGGUCCCAGUUCGGAUUGUAGGCUGCAACCCGCCUACAUGAAGUUGGAAUUGCUAGUAAUCGCAGAUCAGAAUGCUGCGGUGAAUACGUUCCCGGGCCUUGUACACACCGCCCGUCACACCAUGGGAGCCGGUAAUACCCGAAGUCAGUAGUCUAACCGCAAGGGGGACGCUGCCGAAGGUAGGAUUGGCGACUGGGGUGAAGUCGUAACAAGGUAGC